rnacentral:sRNA from 1 species
GAUUAGGGCUAUAGUGAGCGCAGAUGAGCCCAGGAUGAGUAUCAGGGCCAUCUACCUGGCUAUCCGGGUGGUCAAGAACACCAUCUCUGAUACCCGGUCCAAGGUGAGGAUGGCUAUUCUCCGCAUCAUUGGGCAGUUGGCUCUCUCUGGCUACCAGGAGAGAAUCAAAGGCUGGGGCCUGAAGUACGUGUCUGUGCAACUGACCUUAUCCACCUACAAACUGACAAAUCGCCGGGAGAACUUUUAUCAGAGGGACUUGGAGGAGAGGAUGGUCCACAAAGUCACCAUGGACACUGUGAAGAUCAUUACCUCUUCUGUCAGUGGGAUGACCAACGAGUUUUGGGUGAGGCUCCUGUGCUACAUCAUGGAAACAGACUACAUGGAAGCUUUGACUCCUAUCUGUAUCAGCCUCACAAACCUGGCAGAACACCAGCUCCAUGGCCAGGAUGUGGAUGUCAGCGUGGCUGGCAAGAGCAGGCAAGGUGAGCAAAGUUCCUGUGCCAGCUGGUUGGAUUGGGCAGGUGGGCUGGCUCCUUGUCUGGGAAUGCCCACCUCUCUCCACAUUCCUCCCACCCUCAUUCCCCCUUCUCCUGGAAACAUCCAAGUCCAAAUUAAUACUAUUAAUGCCUAC